UACGGGGGGGGCAAGCGUUGUUCGGAAUUACUGGGCGUAAAGGGCUCGUAGGCGGCCAACUAAGUCGGAUGUGAAAUCCCCAAGCUUAACUUGGGAACUGCAUCCGAUACUGGAUGGCUUGAAUCCGGGAGAGGGAUGCAGAAUUCCAGGUGUAGCGGUGAAAUGCGUAGAUAUCUGGAGGAAUACCGGUGGCGAAGGCGGCAUCCUGGACCGGCAUUGACGCUGAGGAGCGAAAGCCAGGGGAGCAAAGCGGG
rnacentral:rRNA from 1 species